rnacentral:rRNA from 1 species
CCCUUAGAUGUUCUGGGCCGCACGCGUGCUACACUGAGUGGAUCAGCGGGUCAGGUUGCGCGAAAGUGUUUCCUAAUCUUUAAAUCCGCUCGUGAUGGGGAUUGACGGUUGCAAUUUUCCGUCAUGAACGAGGAAUACCUUGUAAGCGCGGGUCAUCAUCCCGCGCUGAAUACGUCCCUGCCCUUUGUACACACCGCCCGUCGCUCCUACCGAUUGAGUGGUCCGGUGAGGCUUUGGGAUCUGAGCGGAAAGAGCGUUUCGCUGUUUCUGCCCGGAAAACUCAGUCGAACCUUAUCAUUUAGAGGGAGGAGAAGUCGUAACA